rnacentral:rRNA from 1 species
GAUGAACGCUAGCGACAGGCUUAACACAUGCAAGUCGAGGGGCAGCACAGGUAGCAAUACCGGGUGGCGACCGGCGCACGGGUGAGUAACGCGUAUGCAACUUGCCUAUCAGAGGGGGAUAACCCGGCGAAAGUCGGACUAAUACCGCAUGAAGCAGGGGCCCCGCAUGGGGAUAUUUGCUAAAGAUUCAUCGCUGAUAGAUAGGCAUGCGUUCCAUUAGGCAGUUGGCGGGGUAACGGCCCACCAAACCGACGAUGGAUAGGGGUUCUGAGAGGAAGGUCCCCCACAUUGGUACUGAGACACGGACCAAACUCCUACGGGAGGCAGCAGUGAGGAAUAUUGGUCAAUGGCCGAGAGGCUGAACCAGCCAAGUCGCGUGAGGGAUGAAGGUUCUAUGGAUCGUAAACCUCUUUUAUAAGGGAAUAAAGUGCGGGACGUGUCCCGUUUUGUAUGUACCUUAUGAAUAAGGAUCGGCUAACUCCGUGCCAGCAGCCGCGGUAAUACGGAGGAUCCGAGCGUUAUCCGGAUUUAUUGGGUUUAAAGGGUGCGUAGGCGGCCUUUUAAGUCAGCGGUGAAAGUCUGUGGCUCAACCAUAGAAUUGCCGUUGAAACUGGGAGGCUUGAGUAUGUUUGAGGCAGGCGGAAUGCGUGGUGUAGCGGUGAAAUGCUUAGAUAUCACGCAGAACCCCGAUUGCGAAGGCAGCCUGCCAAGCCAUGACUGACGCUGAUGCACGAAAGCGUGGGGAUCAAACAGGAUUAGAUACCCUGGUAGUCCACGCAGUAAACGAUGAUCACUAGCUGUUUGCGAUACACUGUAAGCGGCACAGCGAAAGCGUUAAGUGAUCCACCUGGGGAGUACGCCGGCAACGGUGAAACUCAAAGGAAUUGACGGGGGCCCGCACAAGCGGAGGAACAUGUGGUUUAAUUCGAUGAUACGCGAGGAACCUUACCCGGGUUUGAACGCAUUCGGACCGAGGUGGAAACACCUUUUCUAGCAAUAGCCGUUUGCGAGGUGCUGCAUGGUUGUCGUCAGCUCGUGCCGUGAGGUGUCGGCUUAAGUGCCAUAACGAGCGCAACCCUUGCCACUAGUUACUAACAGGUAAAGCUGAGGACUCUGGUGGGACUGCCAGCGUAAGCUGCGAGGAAGGCGGGGAUGACGUCAAAUCAGCACGGCCCUUACAUCCGGGGCGACACACGUGUUACAAUGGCGUGGACAAAGGGAAGCCACCUGGCGACAGGGAGCGAAUCCCCAAACCACGUCUCAGUUCGGAUCGGAGUCUGCAACCCGACUCCGUGAAGCUGGAUUCGCUAGUAAUCGCGCAUCAGCCACGGCGCGGUGAAUACGUUCCCGGGCCUUGUACACACCGCCCGUCAAGCCAUGGGAGCCGGGGGUACCUGAAGUCCGUAACCGCGAGGAUCGGCCUAGGGUAAAACUGGUGACUGGGGCU